AGGGUUAAGCUCCUGUCCACUUUCCUAUAGGCACCAGUUUGCCCUGUGUGUAUAUGCUUACCUUAUUCUCAGCCACUCCUUUUCUUGUACCUACUUUUUUGUCAAUUGAUAGAUAUCCCCAUUCAUUCCAGAAGAUCCCUAGUACUAGAGCAUCCAGGAGAUGCUCUAGUAUCAUUGAAAAGCUCCCAUGUAGAGAGAGAAACUCUGUUCACUAAAGAUGAGAAAAUACGAAGAGAUUUGGAAGAACUCAGCAAUCUAAAGGGAUCAGAAUACUCAUUCCAAACAACUAUGGAUGAACUUGAGGGAAAUCAGAAAGUUAUUCAACUUGCUUUAUAGGAAGCCCAGAAUAACGAUAACAAGAAGCAGUAGCACGAAAAGAUGCAGGGAGUUGUCAGAGACAUGUCAACAUCACCUGUCAUCUCAGCCAGUAAAAUAGAGAGCGUGGAUGCCAAGUGUCACAUGGCACAUUUGUACAUGAAGAGAGGCACCAGCACUUUGCAGUCAGAAGUGUCCACCAGUGCAGAGGAGCUGGAACAACUCUGUGGCAAGUGGGUCACAGAAGCAGAUACUGAUAUGUGAGCUUGAGAGGAUGAGGUGGGAUUUUGUGCUGGCUAAACUGAAAUAUGAACCUGAAGAUGACAAAAAGCAAAGGCUUCAUGAAGAGAGACUGGCACAGAUUCAUCAGCAGGCAGUAAAAAGAUUGUUUAGUCAAGGAUUCUAAGACCAGAGUCUACUCCAGCCCCCAAAAAAACAGUAUGCCUUGUUCCUACAACUGCUUCAUCUGUAUUCGUGUUAUUUACACAGUAAAGGAGCUGGCCUUCUACAUUUUACAAACCCAUUACCUGUUUUGCUAUUGUGCUCUUUUACAUUCUCAAAAAGCUUUCCAGAAUUACAAAAAAAAAAAAAAAAAAGAAAAAGUUCUUUAAAAAGGUAGCAUAUUGUACUCUCUUGGCCCCUUUUUUUUUCUGCUUUUUAAUUAUUUUUUUUUCUCACUACACCAAUCAUACAUAUAGGAUUUCAGCUAUUAUAUGUACAGUAGCCUAAUUAUGGAAAAUUAACUGAUUGUCUCAAGAAAACUGCAACUGAAUGAUGUAAUUUGACUUCAUGCUGUCUCAACAACCUUUGACAUCAUACAAGGGCAUUCAUCUAUCCAAAU